rnacentral:rRNA from 1 species
UACAGAGGGUGCAAGCGUUGUUCGGAUUUAUUGGGCGUAAAGGGCGCGUAGGCGGUUUGUCAAGUCUCUAGUGAAAUCUCAGGGCUCAACUCUGAGUCUGCUGGGGAAACUGCCGGGCUUGAGUGUGGGAGAGGAGAGUGGAAUUCCCGGUGUAGCGGUGAAAUGCGUAGAUAUCAGGAGGAACACCUGUGGCGAAAGCGGCUCUCUGGACCACAACUGACGCUGAGGCGCGAAAGCUAGGGGAGCAAACAGG